GACGAACGCUGGCGGCGUGCUUAACACAUGCAAGUCGAACGGAAACGCCCUGCUUUUGUGUUGUGCUCGAGUGGCGAACGCGUGAGUAACACGUGAGUAACCUGCCCUUGACUUUGGGAUAACUUCAGGAAACUGGGGCUAAUACCGGAUAGGAGCUCCUGCUGCAUGGUGUGGGUUGGAAAGUUUCGGCGGUUGGGGAUGGACUCGCGGCUUAUCAGCUUGCUGGUGGGGUAGUGGCUUACCAAGGCUUUGACGGGUAGCCGGCCUGAGAGGGUGACCGGCGACAUUGGGACUGAGAUACGGCCCAGACUCCUACGGGAGGCAGCAGUGGGGAAUAUUGCACAAUGGGGGGAAGCCUGAUGCAGCAACGCCGCGUGCGGGAUGACGGCCUUCGGGUUGUAAACCGCUUUCGCCUGUGACGAAGCGUGAGUGACGGUAAUGGGUAAAGAAGCACCGGCUAACCACGUG
rnacentral:rRNA from 1 species